CCUAUUAUACAUUUCUUUAUUGUUUCGAGAGGGUUCACCGUUAAAAUACUCUUGAAGAUGAUAUUAUGUGCCGUUAUUAUAUUUUUUUUAGUGUGAAGCUAAAUAUAUGUGAUUAUUAGCAUAUCUAGAAUCUGCAAGAUAUAC
rnacentral:sRNA from 1 species